rnacentral:rRNA from 1 species
GAUGAACGCUGGCGGCGUGCCUAAUACAUGCAAGUCGAGCGAACAGACGAGGAGCUUGCUCCUCUGACGUUAGCGGCGGACGGGUGAGUAACACGUGGAUAACCUACCUAUAAUACUGGGAUAACUUCGGGAAACCGGAUCUAAUACCGGAUAAUAUAUUGAACCGCAUGGUUCAAUAGUGAAAGACGGUUUUGCUGUCACUUAUAGAUGGAUCCGCGCCGCAUUAGCUAGUUGGUAAGGUAACGGCUUACCAAGGCAACGAUGCGUAGCCGACCUGAGAGAGUGAUCGGCCACACGGGAACUGAGACACGGUCAAGACUCCUACGGGAGGCAGCAGUAGGGAAUCUUACGCAAUGGGCGAAAGCCUGACGGAGCAACGCCGCGUGAGUGAUGAAGGUCUUCGGAUCGUAAAACUCUGUUAUUAGGGAAGAACAAAUGUGUAAGUAACUAUGCACGUAUUGACGGUACCUAAUCAGAAAGCCACGGCUAACUACGUG